rnacentral:rRNA from 1 species
GAUGAACGCUAGCGGCAGGCUUAAUACAUGCAAGUCGAGGGGCAGCAUGAAUGUAGCAAUACAUUUGAUGGCGACCGGCAAACGGGUGCGGAACACGUACACAACCUUCCUAUAAGUGGGGAAUAGCCCAGAGAAAUUUGGAUUAAUACCCCGUAACAUAAUGAUGUGGCAUCACAUUAUUAUUAUAGCUACGGCGCUUGUUGAUGGGUGUGCGGCUGAUUAGAUAGUUUGAGGGGUAACGGCCCACCAAGUCUACGAUCAGUAGCUGAUGGAGGAGACAGAUCAGCCACACGGGCACUGAGACACGGGCCCGACUCCUACGGGAGGCAGCAGUAAGGAAUAUAGGUCAAUGGACGCAAGUCUGAACCAGCCAUGCCGCGUGAAGGAUUAAGGUCCUCUGGAUUGUAAACUUCUUUUAUCUGGGACGAAAAAAGGCUAUUCUUAGUCACUUGACGGUACCAGAUGAAUAAGCACCGGCUAACUCCGUGCCAGCCGCCGCCGUAAGAC